UUGAGGCAACAUGCGAUAGCGUUCGCCAUUUCCACUCCUCCUCGGCGCUGUUUAAAAUUUGAGCCAAUUGCAGACCGCAUAGUCUGUCACGAUUGAGUUCUAUAUAAAGCCAAUUCCAGUUAUAGCACGAAGUCUCGCAAACGCCAGCAGUAACGCCACAUCAUGAAGGUCGUUGCUUUUUUCGUCGCUUUUAGCGCCCUUGUGGCCGUCGCUACUCCAAAGUGUUCCUUGUCUGGCAUUGUGUCUCAGCACGUUGAGUCGUGCGCAAAGGAUCUGCGUGUUUUGGGAUACUACGUUGCGAUCGACAGGAACACCGAUGUCACGGAUCCCGCCAUCCGCCAGAAAUUGUGCUGCGGCGCCAGAUUAGCGGAGAAUUGCUUGAAGCCAAAACUUGCGGGGACCGACUGCUUCGACCCCGUAGUCGCGUUUGUCAGAUACAGCCUUCAACGCGCAAGCCGCCUCGACUUUGAGAGUGAUUGCGGCGGCGAGGCUGUUCAGUGCGCCUUCUGAGAAGCCAGGCAGACUUGAACAACAAGAAGAACAAAAUCCCUCUCUUUCUUGACGCAUAAAUGCACAUGCAUUUGCUCUGCA